AGAGUUUGAUCCUGGCUCAGGAUGAACGCUGGCGGCGUGCCUAAUACAUGCAAGUCGAGCGAACAGACGAGGAGCUUGCUCCUUCGACGUUAGCGGCGGACGGGUGAGUAACACGUAGGUAACCUACCUAUAAGACUGGGAUAACUUCGGGAAACCGGAGCUAAUACCGGAUAAUAUUUCGAACCGCAUGGUUCGAUAGUGAAAGAUGGCUUUGCUAUCACUUAUAGAUGGACCUGCGCCGUAUUAGCUAGUUGGUAAGGUAACGGCUUACCAAGGCAACGAUACGUAGCCGACCUGAGAGGGUGAUCGGCCACACUGGAACUGAGACACGGUCCAGACUCCUACGGGAGGCAGCAGUAGGGAAUCUUCCGCAAUGGGCGAAAGCCUGACGGAGCAACGCCGCGUGAGUGAUGGAGGUCUUCGGAUCGUAAAACUCUGUUAUUAGGGAAGAACAAACGUGUAAGUAACUGUGCACGUCUUGACGGUACCUAAUCAGAAAGCCACGGCUAACUACGUGCGCGCAGCCGCGGUAAUACGUAGGUGGCAAGCGUUAUCCGGAAUUAUUGGGCGUAAAGCGCGCGUAGGCGGUUUUUUAAGUCUGAUGUGAAAGCCCACGGCUCAACCGUGGAGGGUCAUUGGAAACUGGAAAACUUGAGUGCAGAAGAGGAAAGUGGAAUUCCAUGUGUAGCGGUGAAAUGCGCAGAGAUAUGGAGGAACACCAGUGGCGAAGGCGACUUUCUGGUCUGUAACUGACGCUGAUGUGCGAAAGCGUGGGGAUCAAACAGGAUUAGAUACCCUGGUAGUCCACGCCGUAAACGAUGAGUGCUAAGUGUUAGGGGGUUUCCGCCCCUUAGUGCUGCAGCUAACGCAUUAAAGCACUCCGCUGGGGAGUACGGACCGCAAGGUUGAAACUUAAAGGAAUUGACGG
rnacentral:rRNA from 1 species